rnacentral:rRNA from 1 species
GAUGAACGCUGGCGGCGUGCCUAAUACAUGCAAGUCGAGCGAACGGACGAGAAGCUUGCUUCUCGGAUGUUAGCGGCGGACGGGUGAGUAACACGUGGAUAACCUACCUAUAAGACUGGGAUAACUUCGGGAAACCGGAGCUAAUACCGGAUAAUAUUUUGAACCGCAUGGUUCAAAAGUGAAAGACGGUCUUGCUGUCACUUAUAGAUGGAUCCGCGCUGCAUUAGCUAGUUGGUAAGGUAACGGCUUACCAAGGCAACGAUGCAUAGCCGACCUGAGAGGGUGAUCGGCCACACUGGAACUGAGACACGGCCCAGACUCCUACGGGAGGCAGCAGUAGGGAAUCUUCCGCAAUGGGCGAAAGCCUGACGGAGCAACGCCGCGUGAGUGAUGAAGGUCUUCGGAUCGUAAAACUCUGUUAUUAGGGAAGAACAUAUGUGUAAGUAACUGUGCACAUCUUGACGGUACCUAAUCAGAAAGCCCCGGCUAACUACGUG